rnacentral:lncRNA from 1 species
AGGUGACAGUUUGUAAAGAGACAGAGAAAGAGGAGAGAGAUGGGUUGCUUUGCCUGUUUUGACGGAGGCAAGCAGCAGAGGAAGGAAGAAGACCGUUUAGCCUCUCAAGAAGCUCGAGCUAAAGCCGCCGAAGCAGCCGAAAAGAGGCAUUUCUCUCUCUGUUUCCCCUCUUAUCAAUCAUUUAUAUUUGAAUUGAUUUCUUGUUUUUUAAUCAUUCAAAUGUUAAUUUAAGAUUUGUUAUUCAGCUAUAUUCGUCCGGUAAUUCACUCUAGUGCGUUAAGUUUUGUGUUUUCAACUAGUAUUUUAGUUGUCUUACAUAAUUGUUAGGGCUUCUUGUAUUGUUUACGAUUUCAAUUUUUGAUCAUCAAAUGUAAUUGUAACAAUUUAGAGAUAGGGCUCCUACUAGAAAAUUUGAGCAUCAUUUGGAUGCCAUUUUUUGUAUUUAAAAUGAGCAUUUGCCUGUAAGGAUCUGAAUUCAGUCCUUACUCACAAUUAAACUAAACUUCAAGAGAAUUAUAAGAGAACCAGAGAUUUGAGAAGAGACUAAGGAAAAGAGAGGGAAAAAUAUUAGGAUACAGAGAGGAAAAGUAGAGUAAGAUCAGGAAAAUAUAGAGAGAGGAACAUAACAAAGCAUUUUCAUACCAUUUACUGAGUACAUCAUAUGUAUUUAUAGACUUACAGCCAAACAACUCUACUCUGUAACAACUUUUCAGCUAAAAUUAAAUACAACACAUUUUAUUUGGAAAUGACAUCUCUACCCAACCAACUAUGUUUAACUACUAAACUAACACCAUAACAAUUCCUCACAAUCCCCUCUCCUUAAAAAGAUCCUUGUACUCAAGGAUGGAAAGUUGGAAAUUGAGCAUGAAUAUUUGACCAAGUCUCCCAAGUAGCUUCAAAAGGUAAAAGUAAUAGACCAUUGGAUUAAGACUUCAGCAACGACUGCAUUAUUCUUCUUUACCAAUUUGAGAUCAAUGACUGCAAUAGGCUCUAUAAUGAACUGUCCAUGAUCAUCUACAUGGCAAGACCUGAGACACUUGUGCUGCAGUACUAAUUUUUUUCUUUAAGAGAGAAACAUGGAACACAGGAUGAAUUUUAACUUAAGCUAGUAGCAACAACUUAUAAGCAACAGGUCCAAUCCUUUCAAGCACCUGAAAUGGCCCGUAAUAUUUUGAAUCCAACUUAGAAUACUUGGACUGUUUCAUAGAAAUUUGUUUGUAGGAUUGAACUCUUAAGUAUACCAUAUUUCCCACAUUAAAGACCCUCUCUUGCCUAUUCGUUUAGCAUAAUUCCUCAUUCUACACUGAGCCUUAGCCAAAUUAUCUUUCAAGAGCGGCAACAAUUGAUUCGUAGAAGCACAAAACUGCCUCGCUGUAGGAUUAGAAAUUUGGCCAUAUUGAUGGAAAGAAAUGCGGGGAGCUGCAUAGCCAUAUAAAGCUUGAAAAGGAGUAAGUUGGGCACCACUGUGGUAAUGGGUGUUGUACCACCAUUCAGCAAGUGACAACCAUUCGUUCUAAGUCUUUGGUCUUUGACUACACAUGCAUCUUAAGUAAGUCUCUAAACACCGAUUUAACUUCUCAGACUGACUAUCAGUUUGAGGAUGAUAUGAUGUGCUAAGUUGCAAAUGGGUACCCAAUGACUUAAACAAUGACUGCCAGAAAUGCCCAAUAAAAUUUUUAUACCUAUAUGAAACUAUUGAUAAAGGUAAUCCAUGCAGUUUAUGAAUGUUGUCGAGGAAUAUAAUUGCUACAUCAGUAGUAGCCAGUAAAUGGAUGUUUCAACCCCAAAAAAUGAGCAUAUUUGGUAAGUCUUUCUAUGACUACCAUGAUAGAAGUAUAUCCAAUGUGAAUUAGAUAACACUUCAAUAAAAUCCAUGGCAAUAACCUUCCACAGUGUUUCAAGAAUAGGUAAAGGUUGUAACAACCCCGAAGUAACACUAGUUUUAUGCUUGCUUAACUGACAAACCUCACAUUCUUUCACAAAUGUAAUCACAUCAGAUCUUAAAGUGGGCCAAUAAAAAUAUUGAGAUAUUCUUUCAAAAGUACCUCUUCUUCUUGAAUGACCCCCAAUAGGAGAACUGUCUUGUAAAAGUUUGAGCCUUACCUCUGAGGAAUUACCCACAACCAACUUACCCUUAUACCGCAACCUUCCAUUCUCAAAAGAAUAAUCAGGGACUAAGGAAGAAUCCAAUACUAACUGAGAGAUAAUUUGCUGCAGUUCUGGAUCAGUUGCCCUAGUUUCAGCCAAAUCUUGAACCCAUUUAGGUGGCACUAUAGGGAGGGCCAAGCAGUUUAGAACCCCAGUUUCCAUUACACACAUAAGAUUUCCAACAGGAUGCCUAGACAAUCCAUCUGCUGCUAAAUUCUCCCGGCUUUCCUGUACCAGAUUUCAUAAUCCAGUCUCAUGAGCUUGGUAAUCCAUUCUUGUUGAUUAGUAGUAGUGAUUCGUUGAUCCAACAAAUACUUGAGACUUUGAUGGUCUGUUUUAAUAAUGAACUUGUUGCCCACUAGAUAAUGUCUCCAUUUUUGCACUGCAUAUACCACAACCAUCAGUUCCUUCUCAUAGGUCGAUAAUCCCAAAUGCUUAGGAGCAAUAACCUUACUUAAGAAAGCAAUUGGUCUGUUCCUCUUCAUUAACACUUCCCCUAUACCAAUACCACUAGCAUCCGUCUCAACUACAAAUGGGAUGGUGAAAUCGGAUGUAGCUAAAACUGGAGCAUUAAUCAUAGCUUGUUUAAGGUUGUCAAAGGCUACCUCAGCUUCAUGACUCCAUUGGAAGUGGUCUUUCCUUAACAUAUCAAUUAAUGGUUUGCUGAGAAAACCAUAAUGUUUUAUAAAUUUUCUAUAAUAAUAUCCUGUUAAGCCCAAGAAUUCCCUUAGACUCUUAAGGUUCAUGGGUUUGGGCCACUGAACCAUACACUCAACCUUAGUUGAAUCAGUUGACACACCUUCAGAAGUAAUAACAUGACCAAGGUACUGUACCUGUUGUGUAGCAAAGGUACACUUGGAUAUUUUUGCAUACAAUUCAUGUUGCCUUAACAACUGUAGAGUCAUCUCAAUGAAAACCAAGAUAAAUUUCCUCAAGUAAGGAGCAUACAUAACAUUAAUGAGACUUUGAAAAGUAGUUGGUGCAUUAGUUAACCCGAAUGAUAUUACUUUAAAUUCAUAAUGAUAUGUAUGAGUUCUAAAAGCAGUUUUAGGAAUAUCUGGAGGAUGAACUCUAAUCUGGUGAUAACCAGAGCUCAAAUCCAACUUAAAAUACCAUUUUGCACCAUAAAGCUCAUCUAACAGCUCAUCAAUUGCAGAUAUAGGAAACUUGUCCUUAAUAGUAACAUCAUUCAAAGCCCUAUAAUCAAUACACAUUCUCCAUGUGUUGUCAUGUUUUUUAACCAAGAAAACUGGGAAAGCAAAUGGACUACUACUGUUUUGGAUAACCCCAAUUUUUAGUAAGUUAGCAACAAUUUUCUCAAUCUCUGAUUUUUGAACAUAAGGGUAUCUAUAAGGCCUCAAAUUAAUAGAUUGGCUGCCUUCCUUCAAGUUAAUGUGGUGAUCAUAAGAUCUCACAGGAGGCAAACCUUGUGGUUCUGCAAUUACAUCAGAAAAAGAAGCUAACAACUCUUGCAACUUAGGACAAGGAGUUGUAGGACUGCACUCCUCACACUCCAUAAUACCAUACAAAUACCCAAAAAAUCCCAUGGGAAGUAGUUUGUAACACCUUCUUAAAUUCUCCGGAAUUCAUAAGGUGUAUAGUAGGAGUAACAUAUGUGUUUUCCCCUUGCAAUAUUACUGAUUCCUCAUCUCGAUAAAACUGAAGUUGUAAUUUGUUGAAGUCAAAAGUAACUGGACUCACUAUUUUCAACCAUUGAACCCCAAGUACUGCAUCAACUCCUCCCAAAGGAAAUACCCUCAUCUCAGUAUUAAAGUCCAGAUUCUGAAUUUGCCAUUUAAAAUCAGUAGACACUUGAGUGUUGUAUACUUGGAAGCCAUCAACCACAAACACUGUUACUGCAUUAGUAUCCAAAAAAUUCAAUGAGAAUACUCAAUGUUCCUUGCACUAUAAUUUUGUUGUUUGCAUUGUGGCCUGACAAAACAUGUUAACUUAUCUGAACAUCAUCUAACUUGCCAUCUGGUAGCAAUUUAUUUUGCUCUACCUAAGGCACCAAUUUUGGUUCACACACAAUUUGUUCCUUUGAAUCCCAAUUUGAUUCCUCUUCCUCAGAAGGUAUCAUCAUAAACAAGUGGGGUUGCUUGCAGACUGGAACAUAGGAUUCGUCACAUGAGAAACACAGGCCUUUCUUUCUUUUCUCAAAAAUUUGUUCCCUGGUUAGGUUUCUAAUAGGCAAGAUCUUUUUAGGUUCAACUGUAUUAACUCCCAUUCUAAUAUCUACAUUAAUGUUUCCAGAGUUCCCCAUUCCUACACCACUAGGAAACCUUUGCACACCAGAUGCUACAAUAGAAGUUCUGUUGACCAGAUUACUGUUAGUAGAAGGCCUCAAAACAAUUCUACUCCUUUUAAUCCAAGCUUCUAAUUUGGUUUCCUCAACUCUAGCUAAACGAAUAGCUUGUAAAACUCAACUCUUGGAUACCUAAUUGAAUCUUCUCACGUAAGCCCCCAACAAAACAAUCAACAAAAAAUUCUUCAUUCAAUUUAGAAUUCUUUAUUAAAGCCCAACCCCCGAGAUCUUUAAAUUUAGCUCUAUAUUCAUCCACAGUUCAUGUUUGUUGCAAUUUUUUGAGCUCAACUAUAGGAUUAACUUUAGUCUCAGGACUAAAUCUAGCCAACAGUUCAUCAAUUAACCCAUUCCAUGUCAUUUCAACUCCACUUUCAACAAAGCUAGAAUACCAAAUUUCAGCUUCUCUUUCAAGAUGCAUAGUGGCUAAGUAGAGCUUCUGAUUCUCAGCAACGUUAUGUUGAGAAAACAAUUUAUUAGACUUCCUAAUCCAUGACCAAUGUUCUAAAAGGCGGGAGGUGGGAGGCCGGGGGGUCUAGCGCCUAGGGGGCCUAGACUGAAUUUUUUAUUUUAAGUCAAUUUUAAUAUUUUAUCUUACAUUUAUCCAAACAAAACAAUAAUAUAAAGCAAAACAAUCUAUAAUAAAGAUAAUAAAUGUUUUUACUUAAAGUUCAAACACAUAUCCAUAUUGCUAAUGUCAAAGUUCAAACACAAACAAAUUAAAAUUAAUUUCUUAAAAAUCAAAUUGAGAUAUUUUUAAAUUUAAAUAAAUGUUAUUUUUAAAAAUUAGUGUGAAGUUUAUUGAAUGAGACAUUUGAUAUUAUUAAUUAUAAAAUUAUUUUUAUUUGUGUAAUGUUCAAAAUUGAGAACUUAAAGAAAAUGACAAAUACCAUAAGCUAAGUAUGACUAACAUAUCUUUAACGUAUUAGUUUUAUUCAUAAACAAGAUUGCUAUUAAAUAAUAAAAUUUAAAUUGCCCGCCUAGAGGGAUUUUUUGCCGCCUUGGACCUAGGCGAGGCGCCAGGGGGCCUAGCGCCUAGGCGGCCGCCUAGGCCGCUUUUUAAAACACUGUCCAUGACCUAGGGUUAGUACCGUAGAAUUUAGAAAAUUCAAAUUUGAUCGUGCGAAAUAUUCCUUCAUAGUUACUGAAUGAAGAAACACCUCCUUCAUAAGGUCCAAGGACAGAUUCGGUAGGAUGCUGAGUUGAAGAUGGAGGAACAAUACCUGAGGGUAGUCUAUCAACUCCAGAUGAAUUCGAACCUUGUUUAUGAUUCUAAACUAAUAACAUAGCUUCAAAUCCUUUCAACAUCUGUUCCAAUUUCUCAUCCAAUCCUUUAUUCAACGAUUCUACCGAAGAUUGCAGCUGAUUUUGUAGAUCCGGGACGUUAUUCUCUAAGUUAGUUAAUCGUUGAUUAUUAGUAGCCAUGGCUGCCAAUCGACUGAGCUUUGAUAUCAAUUGUAAGGAAUUGAGAUUUGAAUUCAGUCCUUACUCACAAUUAAACUAAACUUCAAGAGAAUUAUAAGAGAACCUGAGAUUUGAGAACAGACUAAGGAAAAGAGAGGGAAAAAGAUUAGGAUACAGAGAGGAAAAGUAGAGAUAAGAUCAGGAAAAUAUAGAGAGAGGAACAUAACAAAGCAUUUUCAUACCAUUUACGGAGUACAUCAUAUGUAUUUAUAGACUUACAACCAAACAACUCUCCUCUAUAACAACUUUUCAGCUAAAAUGAAAUACAACACAUUUUAUUUGGAAAUGACAUCUCUACCCAACCAUGUUUAAUUACUAAACUAACACCAUAACAAUUCCUUACAUUGCCUUCCCUUUAUGGUGACGAAGAAAGUGAUAUGGUGUCUUGUUUUAGAUUCCUCGAUAGUGACUUGUAGCAUAUUGCUUUUGAAUUUUUGAUUGAUUAUGGAAGGAAUCCGGAUAAUUUAUCAGUUUGUUGACAUAUUCCAGUGAGUACCUUCAAAGAUAAUUUGUUAAGAGUCACAAACAUUACAUUUGGAAGAUAAGAAAUAGGGGAGAUUUUCUUUAAACAAACAGGGCCUUGGUUUGAAACCAUCUCUUGGGAAGUGAAUACAAGCUACCAGUUGCACCAAUUUAUUCAUGAUAUCAAGCAAUUGAGUACAAAGGUUUAAAUUGUCUUUUGCUGUUUGAUUUUGUAGUUAUGAGAUUUUUAUUAACGCAGUAACUCGAGCAUUAUGUGGUUACACGAAGACAUAUAAGUAGUUUUGGCAACUUGUAUGUCAAAUUGCACAAGACGCACACAUGAGACUAACACAUGCACUAUUGCUACUCCCUCCGUCCCAUAAUACUGCAACACACUUUUUUGCACAAAGUUUAAGAAAUUUUUAAAUUUUUAUUUGGUUUCCUGAUUGGUCCCUAUAAAGUGUGCGGUUGAGAAUGAUCUAAGAAUGUGAACCACAAAAUGUUUAGUUAGUGGAGGGAUCCACUAUUAUUUCAAACGAUAAAAUUGAUACGACUAUGAGUCUAUUAGUCAUCUAACUUCACAAAUAUUUCUCAAAAAGGACAUGUUGCAAUUUUUUUGGGACUUCUUAGAAAGGGUUGUGUUGCAAUAGUUGUUGGGACGAAUGGAGAUUUAUUUAUCUCCUCUAUGCAUGGACAGCUUUUGUUUUACAUAAUUAAGAUUAGAUAUGUUUCUUGCAUAUUAGUUAUGGGCAAUCCUUCCAGUGAAAAAUGCCUAAUGUAUGAUUUUAUUCCCUUGACGUGAGUUAAAAUUGUGAAUCUUGGUCUCACAUUUUUUAUGAUUGUAUCCAGUUUCGACCUGAAAAAAGUAAGAAAAUUGGAAGUGAGAAAAAGGGGAGAAUUCUGGUGAGUUUACAGUCAGUUACGCUACUGCCAAUGAUAGGAUGGGACUUGAAACCUCCAAAAGCGUGUGUUGUGGCUGUCUGUAUAGGAUUAACUCUUAAACCAUAUUGCAUAUAAGGUUACUAAAGAACAAAGACGGUGUUUGGAUGAGCUGAUUUUUUUAAAAUUUCCUUGAAGUGUAAUAAGCUUUUACGAAUAAAUUGAUACAAAUAAUUCUACCUUUUGUGGUUUACAUCAAAGUUUGAGGGGAGAAAAAUUGGGCGACCACCUGGGUGGUGGUGUGGUGCCACAGACUAAGGCGAUUUGACUACUACGGUUUCUGGUAUAUCCAUUAAUACAAAAAAAAAUUUGGAUUGCCUAUCUAUGAUACUGUGUCUAACCAAGUCAAUUAUGGCUCAAUUGCAGGCAAGAGCAAUUUGAUAAGUCCGCUGCAGGAAGAGCUGCACGUGCACAGAUAGCAGCUGCUGCAAAACAAUCUGCUAACACUAACAAAGGCGAGCCAGUUCUUAAGGUAUUAUUGAUGGUUAUUCCCAUUUUCUAGUUUCAAUGCUAGCACUAAUGAUGCUUUAUAUGACUGUAUUUUUUUUUUUAUUAUUAUUAUUGCUAUAUUCGACUGAAAUUUUAACAUUCUUGCCUUUGGCAAGAAUGGAUCCCAAGACCUCAUGCACCUCAAGCCUUAUGAGUAGUUUUUUACCAUUGAGACAUGAGGAGCUUGGUUAUAUAUGACUGUUUGCAGUCUCAGUGCCUCCUUUUUGUUUUAUCUUAUUACUAGUAUGGAAUUAAGUAUAUACAUAUGGUAGUAUUCUGCCUGCUUGAGUUUCUAAGGAAUAUGAAAGUGACUACUGACUUUGAUUUAUAUUUACAAUGUGCACAGUGGCAGAUGGGAUGAGGAACAGCUUUCUUAGCUUAGUUUUGGACAUUUAAAGUAAGUAUGUGUUUCACUGAAUAUUUUUUCUGUCAACUAAUCUUCUUACUUUAUGUGAUUGCUGGGGAUGGAAAUUAGGGUUUUAUAAUUGGUGGGGAAUUUGUGGAAGAAUUGGGGAGAAGAGGGAAAAGAAAACCAAUCUAUAUGUUCAAAACUCUUGUAAUAUUUCUGACUAUUAUAAUAACCUUUAAAGUUUACUAAGCAACUAACUCAAACAUGAUACUAUUAAAAUUAUAAAUAAAAUAAUAUUACAUUCUAUAAAAUUCUCCUUGUUGGACUUUGGACUCUCUGGAUGGGUUUCUAAAGUCUUGUCCUGCACAGGUGGUGGUCAAUUUGACUCUCCUUGGGUUUGUAUUUACUAGGCAACUCGCACUUUGUGUUCCAUUAAAGUAAUUAUUCAUCUCAGAUUUGUCAUUAACCAUUAAAGCAGUUAUUCAUCUCAGAUUUGUCAUUAACCAUUAAAGCAAUUGUUGAUUUGCAUACAUAGAUAAAAAUACCUGAGUAGUUACCUGGAUCAUUAGUUAUUAUAGUUGAUUUGUCAUACAUACAUCACUAACAAUACCUGAUUAGUUGCCUGGAAUAUUGGUUAUCGUCAUUGAUUUGAUUCCUCUCAAAAGUUCUUUAAAAAACUUCAGUUUAGAAAGGCGUGCUCUGCAUUUUUAGGGUUGUCAUUAGUGCGAGACUUGUUGGUUAAAAAUCAUGUCAGUGCAAAUAUCUGCUUUGGUUCAAGAAUUACACUGGUGGCAUAGUAUUAGGGCUUGCUACAGAGCAGGGAAACAUGUUUUGAUUAUGUUAAUGAUUCUCUAAUCUCUCUGAAUCAUUGUCUGACAACAAUCCAGAUUGAUCUCAAGUUUGUGGGGAAGAAAUUGUUGGAUAUUGCACAAAAACACUCAAAAUUAGAUACAAACACUUCAAUUCAAAAAUACAAUUAGUUAACAGGCAGCAAAACCUCUCACUAAUGUACAUUCGCAUCUCACUCAUCAACACAAUUUGGCAUGCCAAGCAUACGGUAUGGUUCACUUACUGGGGUCUCAUAGCUGUGCCCAGCAUACCCAGAACUCUCUUACAGUACAGCAGUACUCCACGAGACUUGUCUUCCCAGUACGAUACAAGAGCACUCUCACUCUACACUAGCUUUUACCCACUUAACCAUGAGUUCUGUAUUCCCAUACGAGUCCACACAAUGAAGACCAAGGACUUUUGCACAGUUGAGCUUGCUCACUUUAGCAAGUGUGGUGGAGGUUUUAGACUGCACAAUAAUGGCAGUACCUCUGUAGCCGGUAGGAUUUGGAAGUGGAAUAUAACUCUAGAUAAUAUUUUUUGAGAUAGGAGAUAUCUGACAAGAUAUAGUUCUAGCGCCAAAGAAUGGUGGCACAAAGAGAGAGAGAGUGAGAGAGAAAUGGGUACUAGAGAGACAGACAUGGGAGGACUCUGGUGAUAGAUUUUUGGUGAAUAUUCUGCCGGCAGGAGUUUGUGACUAACAAAACUGAUGUUCCCGAUUGUGUGUAGUGGAUCUCUCUUCCUCUACAUUCAUGGUCUCAGACGGGAUAAGCAACCCACAUUCUAAUGGAUCAAUUCAAAUUGUUCAUUUCUUCUUAAUACAUUACCAUAGUCUUCAGCUUUUAUGCAGCAUAUGCUUGCUUAUGUCAAAUAUUGAAUCGGCUUAUGUGGAUAAUUUGUAACAAUUCAUAUUAUUAGUCCAUCCAUUACAGAAAGUAUGCAUACUUUGUUAAUAGUUGAAACCUCGUUAUUUUGUUUCUUCUAUGCAGUGUAUAUGGAUGGAAUAACCAUCAAUCGGAACGAGUUGAAAUCUCUCGAGUAUAAUAUUCCUGGUUAUUUUUUCCUUCUUUUCACGCCCAUUUCCAAUGUUUUAUAUAUUUCCAAGUCCUCUUUGUUUUCUUCUUAUCGAAUUCCUAUAUGUAUAAGCUGUGUACAGUAUAGCUUGUAAUACAUUCACAAUGGGUUUCUGUGGCUCCACCUUUCUUGGAUCAUAUGAUGUGGACUGGGAGGGGCAUGCUCCUGCCAAUGCAAGUGUAUUACUAUCCCCUCCCCUCUGCCCUCCCUUCCCCCUCCCCCUACCCCUCCCUCGGUCCCACCCCCUCCUCUAUUAGAGAAAGAGGCUCAUUUAACUUGGAUCCUCAUUAAUUUUUGAAAACCUAGAAUUUAAAUUAUUAUGUGAAUUUAUUCUAAUUUUAGAAAUGGCAGUUUUGUACUUACUAAUAUAUUUUAAAUAACUUCUAAUAGAAACUAUUGUAUUUAUCAA